rnacentral:rRNA from 1 species
GUGAACGCUGGCGGCGUGCUNAACACAUGCAAGUCGAACGAUGAGAGGGAGCUUGCUCCCCUGGAUUAGUGGCGAACGGGUGAGUAACACGUGAGUAACCUGCCCUUGACUCUGGGAUAAGCGUUGGAAACGACGUCUAAUACCGGAUACGACCCUUGGAGGCAUCUCUGGGGGUGGAAAGAAUUUUGGUCAGGGAUGAGCUCGCGGCCUAUCAGCUAGUUGGUGAGGUAAUGGCUCACCAAGGCGACGACGGGUAGCCGGCCUGAGAGGGUGACCGGCCACACUGGGACUGAGACACGGCCCAGACUC